UACAGAGGUCUCGAGCGUUGUUCGGAUUCAUUGGGCGUAAAGGGUGCGUAGGUGGCGCUGUAAGUCGGGUGUGAAAUCCUGAGGCUUAACCUCGGAACUGCAUUCGAUACUGGAAGUCUUGAGUCCGGGAGAGGUGAGUGGAACUCCGAGUGUAGAGGUGAAAUUCGUAGAUAUUCGGAAGAACACCAGUGGCGAAGGCGGCUCACUGGCCCGGUACUGACGCUGAGAUACGAAAGCGUGGGGAGCAAACAGG
rnacentral:rRNA from 1 species